CUUUUACUGAAACUGCUGGGGAAGAGGUUCUCUUUUUUUCCACUGGGGUUGGUGAAUUGGCAGAAUGUGAGCCUGCAACUGGAGAUGGCCACCUCCCCACCCCAUGUGGAGCAACUGCCUAAGAAGGAAGCCAUCAUGGAGAAGGCAGCAGAGCUGAAAGAUAGUCUUGGUGGUAUCACUUGGGGUCUCUACUGAUGUUCUUCUCAUCACUUUCAUGAGAAAAACUGUACCUUUUAAGGUUUUGGACACAAGCCUGGUGAAGCCUGACAUCUACCUUCUUUGGCUGUUACAGAGUCUAAGCCCACAUGGCCACUUGGCCUAUGCCCAUCUCCUCUCCUUCUCUGGCAGUUCUUCCUGUUGCUCAGAGGUAGAGCACCAACAGUUCCUCUCAUCGCAUCCUCUGUCUUCUCAGAAAACUGUCAGUGAGACAAUGGGGUUUACCAGCUAUUUUGCUUCUGCCAAGGAGACUUUGACAAAUAUCUCCAUCACAUCUGAAUCUCCUCUGAGCCCAUUUUGUGAUCCAGGUCCACUUUGUGUCUUCUGUCCAGUGACAAUGUCACUCAGGCCAGGGAAGGUCUCAAGAGCAAGAGACUUACGGGUAAAGUGACUCCUCCCUCAGCCUGGGUUGCACGUGGCUCCAGCACCUACUGUAAAUUGGUCUAUUUAGAUAGAGUCAAAUUUCAAAAUCCUUCCUAAAACUAUGCUUAACCAUUCCACAAAACUCCCUCCAAAGAUAAAACAGAGAGAAGAGUGACAAAGAAUAUAGUGAAAUAGUAAGCUGAAAAAAACAAGACCAAUUCGUGUUCCUGUGAGCUGUGCUCUCCCGCCUUAGGCUUGCUUAUUAUCCAGGCUACGAAGCAGAGAGAGGACCACAUCAUGCCCAGGUUGGUGCGGCAUCAACAGGGGCUUCUAUUCACACGUGGCACAAUAAAGCUCUCAUGGCGCAGACAGGAGGAGCUGGCAGGGGUGCUGUGAACAUGCCACGGCUAAUUAUUAUAAUAAUAAUAUCUGCUUAUCCUUUGUAUACUGCAAAAGGUCCACAUCCCACUCUUGUACCACUUGGUCAUAAUACUGUAUUAUCCCAUACAUUUAAAAACUGGUUAGUGUUACUGAGAUCUUAAAUGUGUUGUUUGUCUCUUGCAAAGCACCAGUUACUGCCAUAUUUCUGUGAUUCAUUUUGAGUGUCUGGGGUGAUAUACUUAAUACUAUUUUCAGCUGUUUAAUAAGCACCAAAUAAAACAAUUUUUGUAUUAUUUUCUUCUGUCUUCCUUUACAAUCUACUGUCUAGAACUAUAUUUCAAUGGAGUGUAUAUUUGCUUUGCUAAAUUCAUUCAUAGUGUAUCUGCAGGCCUGGAUUGAACAUAUGUCCUGUAAUGACAACUACUUUAUUUGUAGGAACUAUUUAGGUCACUGGAGCAGAAGAAAAGAAGCCACUACUUAAUUGAAAUGGCAUAUAUCUAAAUAUAGAUACUCUUCUGAAUAUCUGUUGAACAUCAAUGAAUGAUGGAGAGAUUGUU